GACAAACGCUGGCGGCGUGCCUAAAACAUGCAAGUCGAACGGCUCUUUCGGGAGCAGUGGCGGACGGCUGAGUAACACGUGGGUAACCUACCCUGGCGUGGGGGAUAACCCGCCGAAAGGCGGGCUAAUACCGCAUACGAUCCAUUGGCUAUGGCUGGUGGAGGAAAGUGGCGACAUGCGCGAGGCUGGGCCUGCGGCCGAUUAGCUGGUUGGUGGGGUAACGGCCUACCAAGGCGAUGANCGGUAGCUGGUCUGAGAGGAUGAUCAGCCAGACUGGGACUGUGACACGGCCCAGACUCCUACGGGAGGCAGCAGUUAGGAAUCUUGGGCAAUGGGCGCAAGCCUGACCCAGCAACGCCGCGUGGGUGACGAAGGCCUUCGGUCGUAACG
rnacentral:rRNA from 1 species